rnacentral:rRNA from 1 species
AGCGAACGCUGGCGGCAGGCCUAACACAUGCAAGUCGAACGAACUCUUCGGAGUUAGUGGCGGACGGGUGAGGAACACGUGGGAACGUGCCUUUAGGUUCGGAAUAACUCAGGGAAACUUGUGCUAAUACCGAAUGUGCCCUUCGGGGGAAAGAUUUAUCGCCUUUAGAGCGGCCCGCGUCUGAUUAGCUAGUUGGUGAGGUAAAGGCUCAACAAGGCGACGAUCAGUAGCUGGUCUGAGAGGAUGAUCAGCCACAUUGGGACUGAGACACGGCCCAAAAUCCUACGGGAGGCGGGAGAGGGGGAUCUUGCGAAAUGGGGGAAGGCCUGACGCAGCCAUGCCGCGUGAAUGAUGAAGGUCUUAGGAUUGUAAAAUUCUUUCAACGGGGACGAUAAUGACGGUACCCGGAGAAGAGGCCCCGGCUAACUUCGUG